rfam:Pseudoalteromonas luteoviolacea B = ATCC 29581, WGS project CAPN01000000 data, contig: 54
CUUGGUGACAAUAGUGUUGUGGACCCACCUGACCCCAUGCCGAACUCAGAAGUGAAACGCAACAGCGCCGAUGAUAGUGUGGC